rnacentral:piRNA from 1 species
UGUGGGCAGUGUUCCCCGUUAGGCUGU